UGAUGAGGACAACACUUCUGCCACCU
rnacentral:piRNA from 1 species